rnacentral:rRNA from 1 species
UACGUAGGGGGCAAGCGUUGUCCGGAAUCAUUGGGCGUAAAGAGCGUGUAGGCGGCUAGGUAAGUCCGAUGUGAAAGUCCAGGGCUCAACCCUGGAAUGCCGGUGGAAACUGUCGAGCUAGAGUCCGGAAGAGGCGAGUGGAAUUCCUGGUGUAGCGGUGAAAUGCGCAGAUAUCAGGAGGAACACCAAUGGCGAAGGCAGCUCGCUGGGACGGUACUGACGCUGAGACGCGAAAGCGUGGGGAGCAAACAGG